rnacentral:rRNA from 1 species
AACGAACGCUGGCGGCAGGCUUAACACAUGCAAGUCGAACGCCCCGCAAGGGGAGUGGCAGACGGGUGAGUAACGCGUGGGAAUCUACCCAUCCCUACGGAACAACUCCGGGAAACUGGAGCUAAUACCGUAUACGCCCUUUGGGGGAAAGAUUUAUCGGGGAUGGAUGAGCCCGCGUUGGAUUAGCUAGUUGGUGGGGUAAAGGCCUACCAAGGCGACGAUCCAUAGCUGGUCUGAGAGGAUGAUCAGCCACAUUGGGACUGCGACACGGUCCAAACUCCUACGGGAGGCAGCAGUGGGGAAUAUUGGACAAUGGGCGCAAGCCUGAUCCAGCCAUGCCGCGUGAGUGAUGAAGGCCUUAGGGUUGUAAAGCUCUUUCACCGAUGAAGAUAAUGACGGUAGUCGGAGAAGAAGCCCCGGCUAACUUCGUGCCAGCCGCCGCAGUAACAC